UAACAUAACUUUGUCGGGGGAGGUUUUCUAAAUCUUCUUUACCUUUUUUUUUGUGUGAUUAGUGAUUUAUGAUGAUGAUACACCUAAAAUAAUACCCUCUUCAUUAGGUGGAAGCCAAAAUUGUAUCAUUUAAUAUGGCUAUAUGAUCUUGCAAAUUGGAUGGAUUACAUUUCAGUCUUUUUUUGAUACUCAACAUAUACUUUUAUCAGUUCCUGAGUUUUCUUUGUGGGUG
rnacentral:lncRNA from 1 species